AGACCACGAUUUUAAAGCUCCUUCAGGAAGCUGGUUUCAUAUGGUGGUUUAGAUUUAACUACUGAGUGUCUAGCACCAUUUGAAAUCAGUGUUCUUGGUGGAGAACGGCUGCACUUCCCAAA
rnacentral:pre_miRNA from 13 species